rfam:Chloroflexi bacterium CSP1-4 XT10_C0004, whole genome shotgun sequence.
CCGCGUCUGACCACGUACGGGGCCCGUCCACGUUCCGCCUCGGCGGCUGGAUGCAAGGGCCCGCGAUGGACCCGGCGGGGCGAAUGGGAGCACGCCCAUG